rnacentral:rRNA from 1 species
GACGAACGCUGGCGGCGUGCUUAACACAUGCAAGUCGAACGCAGUGGCGAACGGGUGAGUAACGCGUAAUCAACCUGCCCUUCAGAGGGGGACAACAGUUGGAAACGACUGCUAAUACCGAAUACUGAAGGCGGGGAUGGCGUCCGAUUGGCUAGUGGGAGGGGGAAAGGCCCACCAAGGCGAUGAUCAGUAGCCGGGCUGAGAGGAUGAACGGCCACAUUGGGACUGAGAAACGGCCCAGAAUGCUACGGGGGGCAGCAGUGGGGAAUCUUCCGCAAUGGACGAAAGGCUGACGGAGCAACGCCGCGGGAGUGAGGACGGCCUUCGGGUUGUAAAGCUCUGUUAAUCGGGACGCGGUACCGGAAUAGAAAGCCACGGCUAACUACGUGCCAGCAGCCGCGGUAAUAC